rnacentral:rRNA from 1 species
UACGUAGGCGGAAAAUUAAGUCAGCAGUAAAUCCUGCAGCUUAACUGUAGAACUGUUAUUGAUACUGGUUUUCUUGAAUAUAGUUGAGGUAGGCGGAAUGUGUAAUGUAGCGGUGAAAUGCUUAGAUAUUACACAGAACACCGAUUGCGAAGGCAGCUUACUAAGCUAUGAUUGACGCUGAGGUACGAAAGCGUGGGGAGCGAACAGGAUUAGAUACCCUGGUAGUCC